UCCUACGGGAGGCAGCAGUGGGGAAUAUUGCACAAUGGGCGAAAGCCUGAUGCAGCAACGCCGCGUGAGCGAUGAAGGCCUUCGGGUCGUAAAGCUCUGUCCUCAAGGAAGAUAAUGACGGUACUUGAGGAGGAAGCCCCGGCUAACUACGUGCCAGCAGCCGCGGUAAUACGUAGGGGGCUAGCGUUAUCCGGAAUUACUGGGCGUAAAGGGUGCGUAGGUGGUUUCUUAAGUCAGAGGUGAAAGGCUACGGCUCAACCGUAGUAAGCCUUUGAAACUGGGAAACUUGAGUGCAGGAGAGGAGAGUGGAAUUCCUAGUGUAGCGGUGAAAUGCGUAGAUAUUAGGAGGAACACCAGUUGCGAAGGCGGCUCUCUGGACUGUAACUGACACUGAGGCACGAAAGCGUGGGGAGCAAACAGGAUUAGAUACCCUGGUAGUCCACGCCGUAAACGAUGAGUACUAGCUGUCGGAGGUUACCCCCUUCGGUGGCGCAGCUAACGCAUUAAGUACUCCGCCUGGGAAGUACGCUCGCAAGAGUGAAACUCAAAGGAAUUGACGGAA
rnacentral:rRNA from 1 species